rnacentral:rRNA from 1 species
AGAGCGAACGCUGGCGGCAGGCCUAAUACAUGCAAGUCGAACGGAUCCUUCGGGAUCAGUGGCGGACGGGUGAGUAACGCGUGGGAACGUGCCCUUUGGUACGGAACAACUGAGGGAAACUUCAGCUAAUACCGUAUGUGCCCUUCGGGGGAAAGAUUUAUCGCCAUUGGAGCGGCCCGCGUUGGAUUAGGUAGUUGGUGAGGUAAAGGCUCACCAGGCCUACGAUCCAUAGCUGGUCUGAGAGGAUGACCAGCCACACUGGGACUGAGACACGGCCCAGACUCCUACGGGAGGCAGCAGUAGGGAAUCUUGCGCAAUGGGCAAAGCCUGACGCAGCCAUGCCGCGUGAAUGAUGAAGGUCUUAGGAUUGUAAAAUUCUUUCACCGGGACGAUAAUGACGUACCCGGAGAAGAAGCCCGGCUAACUCGUACCAGCAGCCGC